GAAGCAGUGGUUGUCUCCUGGUGAAACACAAACAGCUCGGAGAUAAAGUAGCGGUGGACAGACAGACGGACUGACAGACUGACUGACUGCACAGCGCAGCUCAGCAGCCCCUCAGCUGUGGAUCUUCCCCUACCCUUGGAUCUCCCUGCUUAUACACAAUAAUGCAAACGCCAUAUGACAGAGGACUCUGGAGCACCUAAGUAGCAAUUACAGAGCCAGGUGGUAUCUGAUAGCUCCAAAAAGCAGUAAUCAAAACAAUAUGAGUGACUUAACAGAGUUUGAAAGAUGCCAGAUAGUUGCUGCACGGCUAUCUGGUGCAUCUGUCACAAAAACUGCACAGCUGUUUAAUGUGGCCAGAGGAACAGUCUCCAGAGUCAUGACUGUGUAUGUCAAACAUGGACGCACAGCAUCAGCAAAGAAAAACAGCGGGCGCAAGUCAAAGCUCACUGAAAAGGACAGACAGACCCUUCUCAGAAUAGUUGAUGAACACCCUGAGUAUACAGCCUCAAAGUUAACCACAGAGCUGAAUAGACACCUUUCUCACACUGUCUCAGUGAAAACUAUACGGCGCGAGCUUCACAAAGCUGGUAUUUUUAGAGGAGCAGCCAAUCGGAAGCCAGAGGCCGAGACUGACACACAAAAGCCAGAUGGAAAGAACACUGAACCAAAUCCUGACACACAAAAACCUGUUGAAGAGAGCACAAGACCUGAAAUGCAAACAAAUUACAAAGAGUUUGGCACACAGAAGCCUGUGGAAGACAAAACAAUAUCUGAACCCCAGACUGGUGUCAAAGAGUACAAAACAGAAAAAUCUAGAAUACAACCCGAACUCCAAGUCGAUGAAGAAGAGUACAGCACACAUACCCAUGGUGCCGAGAGCACAGGAGCUGAACCUCUGACAAGUGAAAACAAAUAGUAUUGUUGUCUGAUGUGUUUUAUUUCAGCCUUCAAACAUCCAGAUUGGUGAUGUUAAGGGAAAACCACAGUAUGCCUUCACCCCUUAAUGUUCCCAACUGCCCAUCGAGCUGUAAUAACAUGUCAGUUUUUAGAUAUGAUUAUUUAUUUUGCAUGAGUGCAUCAUGGUGCAAUAUUCAGGCUUUAACCAAGCUUUUCAAAUUCCAAAGGGUUACGAAGCAAACAUGUCUGAAAUAUAGACUGUUGAGAUUUAGUCCAGAUUGUUGAACUCCUUCCUGUAGGUGUUGAACGGUAUGUUGUGGUUUUGUUCAUUGCAAAACACUCAACUGAAUCCAGUUAAUGUUCCUUACUUGUUAGACCAAUGCCAUGCUGAGAUGAUAAAUGCUGAUGCUGUUUGUGUUUCACCUUUUGAGGUUAUAUGUACCAGAAAAACCUCUUGUGGAUAAUAUGUGGAACCAGGCAGCAACUACAAUCCCAUAAGAGACUGAAAUAUAGUUUCUCUACUCUCUGUAAUAAUCCCCCAGCUUACUUUUUGAAACAAGAUGUUAGUUUGUAGAUCUGCAUAAUGUAUCUUGUGACAUGUCUUAGUGGAGUUUUUAUAAAAUGAGAAAUACUAUAUGCCAGGUUUCUGAGGCCAUCGUGCUCAGCUGCAGUGGUUGCUGCUUUGCUUAUUCACUCUCAGUUUCACCCAGGCUCUACCCAAAACCCCAGGUUUCAGAACGUCCCUUCAGCAACCUCUGGGAUGGUACAGAUAAAGCACUUUUGUCUACUUUUAUAAAGUUAAAAUGAUUCAGUACAAUGAGAAGUUCACCUGCACUACUUACUUUUUGCUGUACAUGUAUUGCAUGAUAAUUGAUGACCCCACCAUGAGGUAUUGAAUCUCAGUCAUCACGUCUCUCUCAUGCUGCCUUUCUUUACUAAAUUUCACAUUUGUAGCACCUGCAUGUGCAUAGCUUUGGCAGGGAAGGGAGUGAGACGCAGACCGUCAGGCAACAUAUGUAACGUUUGUACUGCAUAUUAAAACAUUACACAAAAACACACAA